rnacentral:rRNA from 1 species
GAUGAACGCUGGCGGCGUGCUUAACACAUGCAAGUCGAACGGUGAACGAGGGAGCCUGCUCCCUCCGGAUCAGUGGCGAACGGGUGAGUAACACGUGAGCAAUCUGCCCCGAACUCUGGGAUAAGCGCUGGAAACGGCGUCUAAUACCGGAUACGACGCGCGAGGGCAUCUUCUGCGCGUGGAAAGAAUUUCGGUUCGGGAUGAGCUCGCGGCCUAUCAGCUAGUUGGUGAGGUAACGGCUCACCAAGGCGACGACGGGUAGCCGGCCUGAGAGGGUGACCGGCCACACUGGGACUGAGACACGGCCCAGACUCCUACGGGAGGCAGCAGUGGGGAAUAUUGCACAAUGGGCGCAAGCCUGAUGCAGCAACGCCGCGUGAGGGACGACGGCCUUCGGGUUGUAAACCUCUUUUAGUAGGGAAGAAGCGAAAGUGACGGUACCUGCAGAAAAAGCACCGGCUAACUACGUGCCAGCCGCCGCCGUAAGAC